AUGAAUGAUCUUAAUUUGAACCCUGUAACUGAAUCUGUCCCAAAAAAAUUAUCCUCAUGGUUAGGGAGGGAUUUAAGUCUUCAAGGAAGGGUGCUUUUAUCCAAAGCUGAGGGGCUAUCUCGUGCAUCCUAUCUUUUUUCAUCUAUUGACAUUCCCAAAUCCACUUGCUGUACCUUAGAUAGGCUUUUGUACAACUUCAAAUGGAAAAACAAGCCACAUAAGAUAAAAAGAGAUGUUAUCACCAACAGGGUUUGUGAUGACGGUCUAAAUGUCUUAGAUUUCACUCUCUUUAAUCAGAUAUCAAAGGUCAACUGGAUUAAAAGGUACAUAAAAAAUCCUCAUAGCUUCUGGAAUAUUAUACCUCAUUUUGUUUUUCAGAAGUUCGGCGGGCUUAAUUUUUUACUACAAUGUCCAUAUAUUGUGGGUAAAAUUCCUGUGAAACUGGCGGUUUUUCACAAGCAGGCUUUAAUGUGCUGGGCUUUGUUGUAUAAACACAACUUUUCACCUCAUAAAUGUUUUAUUUGGAACAAUGGGUCAAUAUUACAUAGAAAUAAGAUGUUAUUUAACCAUAAAUGGUUCUCGAAAAACAUUGUUCUUGUCAGCCAAUUGGUUAAUAACAGUGGGAAUCUAUUUACACAGAGAGAAUUUAUGGAAAUAUACAACUUUGAGGUUUCAAGCAAAGAAUAUGACACUGUUAUUAAAGCUAUACCUAGUGGGAUAAAAACUUUACUUCAGAAUAAUGCAUAUUUUGGAAUAUCUCCGAUGGUAAGCGAUAUUCAGGUGAAUGGCAUUGGUCUACUAGAUAUGAAAUUCAACAAUCGUUUAAUAAGGGAUAUUUUCUACAGGAAGUCUAUUCCCUCCGCGAUAUUUUGUUGGGCUUCAUCGUUUGAUGUAAACUGGCGCCGUGCUUGGCUCACUCCACACAGAUUUAUGGUGACCAAUAAAGUAAAGGAGAUCUCCUUUAAGAUAAUCCAUAGAUGCUAUCCGUGUAAUAGCUUGAUUUCUAAAUAUAUAUUUGACGUUACCAGUGAAUGCAGUUUUUGUGAACUAGAAACUGAAUCUAUUGAACACUUAUUCUGUAAUUGUUUAUAUAGUGAAGUGUUUUGGACUGAUGUAAAACUAUAUCUUAGACGCAAAUUGCAUACAACCAUUGAUAUUACUAAGUUUGACAUAUUAUUUUACUACACUGAUUCCAUAAUUGAACGUGAGUAUGUCAUAAAUCUCUUUAUUUUAUUAGGAAAAUCUUUUAUCCAUAAAUCAAAAUUUAUGAAGAAAAAGCCCCUUUUCUUAAUUUUUUUAUCUGAUUUGGAACAGUACGUAGAAUCUUUAAAACGUAUACAAAACAAUAUGUCAAAAAAAUGUAUUCGAUAUAUGUCUGUAUUUCAUUUGAUAUAA
rnacentral:lncRNA from 8 species